UAAAUACCUUUCCAGUCUCUCUAUUUGGCAAGCUAUUCUUCAGCUCCCCUCUUGUUCUCUGAGUCUUACAGAUGUAUUCCUUGAAGCCAGGGAGGGUCUCAGAAAAAAGAAAACACAAUAAAAGACUCCAGGUUGGAAGGACAAGUACCUUCAGGGGCCUGCAUAAGGAAGUUUGCAGCCUACGCUGAAGAAAAGCUAGAAUGAUGCUGGCAGCAGUGUUAUCUCUCACAGAGCACUGCAAAUCCAAGAAAAGAGGAAAUUGAAUCUGUUAAAACACACCACCUCCUCCAGUUCUCCAAGUGACCUCAGAGCUGGCAGCUUCCUCCCUGUGAACUGUGUUGCAGCGUCUCUCUCGUUCCUGCCUUUCAGCAUCUCCAGGGGUCUGAUUGUGCAUGCAGCCCUUGAAGCUGAAUCAAACAGGCACCUUUGUCCUGAGAUGAUGGAAA
ensembl:lncRNA